rnacentral:rRNA from 1 species
GUACACACCGCCCGUCGCUGCUACCGAUUGGAUGAUCCGGUGAAAUCCUCGGACUGAGGUARUUAUCUAGCAGCAAUGUUAGAUGCUAUUUUGGGAAGUUGAUUAAACCUUAUCAUCUAGAGGAAGCAAAAGUCGUAACAAGGUUUCCGUAGGUGAACCUGCAGAAGGAUCA